GAGGUAAUUAAAGAAAUAUUCUGGGGGACUGACCGAAGCUUUUUACGGUUAUAGAUUUGCAACCUUGGGGUAUGGAUCCUCUAAUUUUGACAAAUAAUAAAGAGGAUCAUGGGUUGGCUUAUGGAGCAUAUGUCCCAAGUAAAAGGCUAAGGACCGGGUUGAGUACCGUUAUUGCAUGCUGUGUUUGUGGUUGAUGCUGCCGCGGGAAACAGUCGGAGUUGAUGCCGCUACUGUGAAAUAAGGAUAACAGAGGAAUUGUUGCAUUUAAUUUUCGGGUUUCGAUUAAUUGAGGUAGGAUUUUUCUUAAAAACUUAUUUUAUUUCAUACCAUAGCGUAUCAAGGGAUCCGAAAUGUUGACGCGACGAGGAUGAUCGACGCCACUGUCGGGAUGCUAAGCGAACAUGAAGCGAGCAUGUGAUAAUGUGAGCCACCUCAUUCACUGAGAAAAUUUUGAAAGCCAAACUCCCAAAGGGCUUCAACAAGCCUACCGAUAUGAAAUAUGAUGGGACGAAGGACCUACAAGAGCACCUCACGCCUUUGAAGCCAGGAUGAACUUAGAGGGAGCCGCCGAUGCGGUCCAAUGUAGGGCCUUUCCGGUAACCCUAGCCGGACCCCGAUCAAAUGGGUCAACGUCCUCCUCAAUGGCUCCAAAGCCAGUUUCGACGAUAUGUCCAGGAUGUUUAUGGCACAGUUCACUACAAAUAAUGAUAAAGAUGGAUAAUCAAAUCUGGUUUUCGAAAAAAAAA